ACUGGAAUCAAAACGUCGUCGUUGUUUGUGUUGAAAGUCCUUUAUAGUUAAUGAAAUGUUAUUGCAAAACACCUCGUAGCAAAUGUAUACACUAUGGAUCUAUUACGCCGCACAGUAACACAUGAUUGCCAUAUUUACGUUUACAAUGUUAUGUCCAUGAUAAUACCGACGUCAACUCGACGUUCUUGAUAAACAAGUCAGUGGUACCAAAACAUCUUAAUGUGCAAGAUACAGUAAAAGUGCGACCAUUGUGUAUCGCAGUAAUACGGAUGUUUUAUCAUAUAUUGAAAUAGGAAUACAUUUCCUUGCAGCAAUGCGAAAAGAUGUUCAAGCAUGUGCCUAUCCCAGUCAUAACGAGCCCCGAUUGUUAACCAACCAACCUACCACGAUCAAGAAGUUUUAAGGAAUUGGAAGAUUUCUUGGAUUUUCAUUUCCUGAUGGAGAUCUUGCCUUCUCAGCAAAGUUAAAGAAAAUGUACCUGAAUAUCUACAUGUCUAAGAAAACGCUUGUUCAUGAAAAAUUGGGAAACAUUAAUGUUCAAGCUCAUAUUCCUCUUGUUACUACAAUGUACACCUUAAUAACUUCUGUCAAGUAGGAAGUGGAUAUUCUAGGUAUUUUUAGUGUAAAUCCAUAAUAGACAAUCGUCAAAAAAUUCUAUUUCAUUGUAAAUCUUACAAUUUUGAUAAUGGAGUGGAAAACAAAGCGGUUUUCAUUGUGUGAAAUAUAGACAACUUAUUCAUGCACUAGAUGGUGUGGAAGUUGGCGCCCAUCGUGUCACUCGACUGCACUCCGCCAGUUUCCAUCAAUCACUUACCUACAAGUGCCUAUCACCGAUCGAUUUCCUACUUAUACAAUUAGUUUGUAGAUCGAUAUGCUGCAGUAGGAAGUCGUAUCUAAACCAUAACUGUCAUGAAAUAAGCGGAUUUGUACGAGAGAGCAGGGGACGCGGAUCUUCGUCACGUGAUAUAGGUUUUGAGAACGACCAAUGAAAUGUAAAUUACUGAGCAAGAAGUUUGUAUUGAUUAUGAUGUAUGUGUACCUCCGGUUCGGGUAUUAUCGGACACGUUACUGUAAAACAGGUAUAUUUAUGUUCCUUAGUUCUGCUGCCAAGCGACUGAACUUGUUUUUUUUGUUAAAAACAGGCAAACAACACGUAACACCAUGUAGAAGUGAAAAAAUGUCAUUUAUUGAAGUAAAUGACGAAAAGUAGUAAAAUAUGAUUAACAAGUACAAAAAUGGGGGUCAGAAAAAGGGAGACUUAAAUAAAGAGUAUUACACAUCUUAGGUAAAUUAUAAUCCAAUCUGACCCCCUGCACCAUAAUGGCAUUGCAACAUAAUGUACAUAGGAAAAAAGGGGGUCAACCAGACUAGAAUAAGAAUUGUACAGUAUACAUGUAUCUUAGGUUGACCCCUCAUAAACCUAAUACAAUUCCAAAACAGACAUAAAUGCCAUAAACAGCUGCCUUAUAAUAGUGAUUGGCUUGAUUUCAACUUAUUUUAUUGUGUAUAUAAACGGAUUGAAAACAACAUCUAUCAACUUAUAAAUAAAAGGUAUUCACCUUAAUCUUGGUCCUGAAUUAUAUAUUCCUCUUUCAUAAAAUAUGAUGAUAUACACAUGUAGAUAGACAGGUCGUGCGUUUUAUUUCAUUGAUAAUUGGAAAGGGUAGCAUACAUGAAAAAAACCUUAAUAUGCAGUAUAUGUACAUUUCAAAAAUUCUACAUAUGUCAGCUGAAUAUUUUUAUUUACUAUAUCGAAUGAUUUAUUCAUAUUUUUUUCAAUGAUAUGUUUAUGAGAAUUGUGAUUAGUACAUGAUUAUUUAGACAUGCGCGCGCAUUGGAUAUGGUAGUAGAGAGCAGAACUAAGAAUGACAUCAAUUUGAUUUAUUUGUUUGCUGACGACCAAUAGUAUCGUAUCCGACAAACGCUUUGUUUUUUAUUUGACAUGUUUCAAAUAUAUCUAAAUAUAUACCUCUCCUCUUUCCUUAAUAUGGAUAUAGAAGUAGGGUUAUGUAAUGCUGAGAAGAUUUGUCAGUCUCUUGAGUAACUCCGGUGACCUAUUGCUCUUAUUCUGCGUCUGUCAUGUAUGAACAAUUGAACAUUUUUCAAACUUCUUGACAUUAGAUGGUAUAUAGACUUGCCUAGAUGGUCGAGUGGUCUAGCGCGCUGGUUACAUGCUGCUAGGAGAUUUGGUUCCGCAGGUCGUGAGUUCAACCCCGGGUAGGGGCGGAAGUGGGUAUCCAAAUAAAGUGAAA